GCGGCGGGCGCAGCAGAGCGGCGGGCGGCGGCGGCGUCGUCGAGCGCAGACAAUACAAGCGCCUCGGACCGAGUCCCCGAACCUGCCCUAGCCAAAAUGGCGGCCGAGAAAGAGCGGAAGUGACGGUCUCACUCUGUUGUCCAGGCAUGAUCACAGCUCACUGCAGCCUUGACCUCCCAGACUCAAGUGAACCUCCCACCUCAGCCUCCCAAGUAGCUGGGACCACAGGUGAGUGCCACCACACCCAGCUUUUUUUAUAUUUUUGUAGAGACAGGAUCUCCCUAUGUUCCCUAGGCUGGUCUCAAAUGCCUGUGCUCAAGCCAUCCUCUUGCCUUGGCCUCCCAAAGUGCUGGGAUUAUAGACAUGGGCCAUUGUGCUGGGCCUCAAUUUCUUCAGCAGCCAAGUUAAGCCAGGAAAAUGUAGUAAUUAGGAAUACUGUUCAAUAAAUAAUUUAGAGACACCUCUUACUUUUAUUUCCAGAAGAAAGUCAACUUAAACUUACUUGCUCAAAGCAUGCCCUUACUCAAAUUUUAAAAGAUACUACAUGACCAUAACCUAUGCUACAGUUAGAAAUUAACUGAUCUCUUCUGAAAUACCUACUUUAGAGAAAGUGGGUAAACAUAAUAUUUGCCCUGGCUUUAUUGGAUAGCUUAGCCCAAAUUUUAACUGGCAGAACACUUUUCUAAAUGGAGAGAAGAGCUUAAGGCAGAGAUUUUUCAAAUUAGUAGGGAUGUGAGCUUUGCUGAGGGUCUUUAAAUAAUAUGAAAACAAGUCUUUUGAGAAAAAAAUUGUUAUAUAAUUCAGUAAGAUGUUUAAAAAUUACUGUAGCAGCUAAGUUUCUGCCUCAGUGUCAUUAAUAUUUUUCCUUACUGAUAGAGGUUAUUGCUCAAAAGAGAAAAAAACGGCUAUGUAAUCAACUGCUGUCAAAUUGUUUCCCAAUUCACAAUAUGCAUUUUAAAUAGACCUGCUUUGAUAGAUGAAAUGUUUCAUCAAUUCAACAGCUGAAAAGAACCGAACUGUAAAUGCCUGCUCUAAAUGUAUUUUCUAGUUUAAGAAAUUUGAGAUACAUUUUUAAGGAAAGGGCAGAGGUGUGUAUUUCUUUUUCAAUUCAUACAGACACAGCCAUAAACAUUUCAUCAGUUAACAUUAUCUUACUUCUGAGAUCAAUUAGGUAUAAAGAUCUAUGAUUCCAGUUUUUAAAAAGACUAUUUCAAAUUAUUCCCCAUGUAAAAAAUUCUACAUUCACAUACUCUAAUGAAGGCAGCAAUACUUUAUGCAAAAAAAAAUAUACAUUUAUUUAUAGGUCUCAAUACAGCAAAAUGAAAACGAAAAUUGAGAA
rnacentral:lncRNA from 1 species